CCUACGGGUGGCAGCAGUGGGGAAUAUUGCACAACGGGGGAAACCCUGAUGCAGCAACGCCGCGUGAGCGAAGAGGGCCUUCGGGUCGUAAAGCUCUGUUCUAUGGGAAGAAAAAUGACGGUACCAUAGGAGGAAGCCCCGGCUAACUACGUGCCAGCAGCCGCGGUAAUACGUAGGGGGCGAGCGUUGUCCGGAAUUACUGGGCGUAAAGGGUAAGUAGGCGGCUAGAUAAGUCAGAUGUGAUAGGCAUAGGCUUAACCUGUGUAAGCAUUUGAAACUGUCUAGCUGGAGUCAAGGAGAGCAAAGUGGAAUUCCAGGUGUAGCGGUGAAAUGCGUAGAUAGCAGGAGGAAUACCAGCGGCGAAGGCGGCUCUCUGGACUGUAACUGACGCUGAGGCACGAAAGCGUGGGGAGCGAACAGGAUUAGAUACCCGGGUAGUC
rnacentral:rRNA from 1 species